rnacentral:rRNA from 1 species
GACGGAGGGCGCUAGCGUUGUUCGGAAUCACUGGGCGUAAAGGGCGCGCAGGCGGCCUUCUCAGUCGGGCGUGAAAGCCCGGGGCUCAACCCCGGAACGGCGCCCGAGACGGGACGGCUCGAGACCGGGAGAGGAGGGUGGAAUAGCCAGUGUAGAGGUGAAAUUCGUAGAUAUUGGCUGGAACACCGGUGGCGAAAGCGGCUCUCUGGCCCGGUACUGACGCUGAGGUGCGAAAGCGUGGGGAGCAAACAGG